rnacentral:rRNA from 1 species
GUGGGGAAUAUUGGACAAUGGGCGAAAGCCUGAUCCAGCAAUGCCGCGUGAGUGAUGAAGGCCUUAGGGUUGUAAAGCUCUUUUACCAGGGAUGAUAAUGACAGUACCUGGAGAAUAAGCUCCGGCUAACUCCGUGCCAGCAGCCGCGGUAAUACGGAGGGAGCUAGCGUUGUUCGGAAUUACUGGGCGUAAAGCGCGCGUAGGCGGUCCAUCAAGUCAGAGGUGAAAGCCCGGGGCUCAACCCCGGAACUGCCUUUGAAACUAGCGGACUAGAAUCUUGGAGAGGUCAGUGGAAUUCCGAGUGUAGAGGUGAAAUUCAUAGAUAUUCGGAAGAACACCAGUGGCGAAGGCGACUGACUGGACAAGUAUUGACGCUGAGGUGCGAAAGCGUGGGGAGCAAACAGGAUUAGAAACCCGUGUAGUCC